rnacentral:tRNA from 1 species
GCCUCGGUAGUGUAGUCCGGCCCAUCAUUUUGCCCUUUCGAGGCAAAGACCCGGGUUCAAAUCCCGGCCGAGGCA